UCACCUCAUCUCACAUGUGCCUUCCAGGAGGAUCUGCUCCAUAAUCUUUUCAGGCACAACAUGAGGCUCACUGGCCUGUUGUUCCCUGGGUCUUCCUUUCUCCCUUUCUUGAAUGUGGGAGUAAUAUUUCCCUUUAUCCAGUCACAGCAGAUUUUGCUUGACAGCUGCAAUUUUUCAAAUACGAUGGAGAUCGGCUUGUCAUCCACAUCAAACAAUUCCUACAGAACCCUGGGAAACACGUCAUCUGGCCCUGCAGACUUGUACACGUUCAGCCUCAUGAGGUGAUCUUGGACUUGCUCCUCUCUUAACUGGGAGGGAUUUUGCUCCCCUGACCCCUGCUUAGAAGUUCAAGGAUACGAGAGGAGUUAAAAGCCUGACUGGCCAUUAAGACCAAGGAGAAGAUCAUGUUAAGUACCUCAGCCUUCUAUGUGUAUGAGGAGGCCAGUUCAGCCUUCUUGUUUAUCAGAGGAGGUACAGUCUCUUCUGCCCAGUGUAUCUAAAGAAAUCUUCCUUGUUUUUCACAUCCCUUGACAAGUUCUAUUCCAUCUGUGCCUUAGCUUUCCUGAUCCUAUCCCUGUGCAUCUGGACAGCAUACUUAUAUUCUUCCCAUCCAUUCCUGCUUCCACUGUUUAUACUUUUCCUUUUUUUUUCCCCCCUCAGCCUGGCCUGCAGGUCCUUGCUCAGCUGUGCUGGUUUCCUGCCUCAUCUGACUGACUUCUUAUUCUUGGGGAUAGAGAGCCCUUGUUUUCUACAUGGAGGAAUUCAGUGACACCCAUUUGCUUCAUACGCAGUUCCGUGUCAGAUGCCAUUUUUUUUUUCAGACUGUCCCUCUGCUGCCAUCUGUCACGUGGCAACAACAUGAAACAGAAUAUUGGUGUGAAGGUUCAACCGCUGCUGCCAUACCACCACCAUCUGUCUCUGAUGUUGUGGGCCGACAUAAUAAAAUAGGUGGCAUUGCUUCUGGACCAGCUUCAUAUAAAAUAACUAACGAUUCAAAGAAGUGGUGUGGAUACCUGGAAUAGAAACCUGAUUCCCAGUGGGUUCUGCUGGUUUGAGGAGUAUGAACGUGUGUAUCACCGAAGGAAAAUUUACAUUUAAUUCGCCUAAAGGACACCAGGAACUAUAAGAGAAGUGUUGACUUCUCCUUGGUGCAAGUACAUUCCUCUUUUGCCUAGCAGGUUGAUCCUGAGCAGUACUGAAAAGAGCUUUGUAACGUGUUCUUUUUAAGAAUGUGUUUCAUAGAUGCAAAGAGUUUUAUGAGCUGUCUUCUGUCACAAGGGACAUGAUUUUUUUAUCUAUUUUUAGAAGUGUACAUACAGAUCUGAUUUGGAAUGUGAGUUUUAUUUCAUGCCUGUUAAUAGCAGGGUCUUCCAAAUCCAUGGAAUACCUCUUUAAACUUUUUAAUUUGUAACCUCACACUAGCAAUUGUAUUUAAAUAUUGACAUGUUGCAUGUAACUACAUCAAUAGCUUUAAAUGGCAGAACAAGUGGAAAGAAGUUCAGACUUAUGAAAUAUCUGUGACUGUCAGAGUUGACAUUAUUUUUUUUCUAAUGCUGAUUGUUUCCAAGGGCCCCAUAUGGGACUAGGAUGCUGCUAUGCUGGUGGUUUUGGAAUCGUGAAAAAAGUCAUCCAUUUUGUAACUGUGCAGUAGCUUUUUGUAUGGUUUGAAAAAUGUUGAGCUAAAAAAGUGCAAGCAUUCACAGCAUAUUCUAAGUGUCACUUUCAAAGAAUGGAUAUACAUACCUUUGUCAUUCCCCUUUUUAUUCUGUCAUGGUUUGCCACUCUCCUAAAAUUGGGUCAAUCUGUGCACCUAUGUUAAAUCAGCUGUUCAUAAGUGACUUGAAUUCAAAAUGCAUAGGUAGAAAUGGCAGCCAAAUCUGAGUGCAUGGUCAUCAGUAUUGGUUGGCAUAUUACCCUAUAACAAAAGAAUGGAGGUGAAGGUAGCUAGUUGUGAAAAGCAUUGUUUUUUUGCAAGUUUUAUAGGGGAUUUCUUACUCCUCUUCCUCCUCUCUUUAGAAGUAGUUUUUUAUUUUCUAAACUGAGAAAAGGGAAUGGGUGGAGUACUUCACCUUCCUGUCUCUCACUUCUAAUUCAACAGUUGGGGGAUACUGUACAUGUAAAUUAUCCCAAGUGUUAUGUACAACUAAAUAUAUUAGCCUUAUUUAGUCACCCUUUCCUAAAUAAGGUACACUAACUUCUGUAAUUGUGGAUUUAGCUCAGGAUUUUCUCUCUUCUUUAGAAAAGUAUUGUUGAGUGUGUACAAACCCGUUAUGAACCCUUGGGCAGAAAGGUGCUGCUGCACUUCUUUAGUCAAGAGUAGUGUUCGCGUCAUCAUUGAAACUGGAGCUGAAGAAUGCUCAUUUUGAUACUUCAUGCUGUUUUUAACCAUCCUGUUUGCGCAGAAUCCCUUCCAGACUCCUUAACAGUACUAUAAAUUUCUCCACAGGGAAUACACCAAUUAUGUUGUAGUCACUUAUUUAGUGGUUUGAUUAUUUUUGCUUCUUGGACUCAUCUCCUGUGCAUUACUUGGGAAUUGGUCAAGAGUACGUUCUCUCCUUGGAUUAAUAUUCUAAAUUUACUUUUCUUAGAAAAGUAAUUUCUUAAUCUAAAAGAUUUUUUUUUCUGCCAAACUAUAGCUGGAUAUGCUGGCAAACUCAGUUUAUUUUGAGGUUAUUUUUCUGCUACAGUUCUUUUGGGAAGGUUCAUUGCUUUUCUGACCUUGCUCAGCACUUAAAUGAGUCUCUCAAAAUGGCUGGUUAUCCUAAAAUCAAAGAUCUUCAAAUGAAGAAACACUCUGAAAAACCUUUACUUUUGUUGUGGCUCUCCCAGUUGAGUGAAAGUUCUUACAUAUUUACCUACUCUCUGAGCCUAAAGGAGCACCAGUUGCUGCAAGACAUGAGGAAAAACACCCCCUUUCUAGCAGAGCAUACUGUCCUCAAAGAGCUAGAGAGCUGCUAGUGAACUCCUCCAAGCCCUCAGAUUUCAACCCAAGGUGGUGGGCUCCCUGUUUUUUUUUUCUUCAGCUACUUAAUUUGUUAUGACUUUCUAUCUCAUCUGAGUAGAAUGGAGUCAUCCACCUGUUUUGCUGAAUGGACAUCGCCUGGGGUAGCUAUGCAGAAGGAUAUCUUCCAUACAGAUGAUAGAGAAACCUUACUUUCAUAUAAGGUAGGUGAGGAAGAUUUGAGAUGAGUGAGACAGAUCUAUAUAGCUAUCAUUUCAGCUAUGUUCAGACAAUGCUGCCUCAGUUGCCAAUUAUGUCACAUCAGGAAGUAUUUAAAGUCAUAAGAACAUACACGUAAUGUGGAGUUGUGCUGAACUAUAAUAACCAAUGCUAUGUUUAAAACAAAAGGACAGAUUCUAGCAGAUCCCUUGGCUCUGGGGAAGUGAAUUAUGAGUGGACCAAAGUGCUGUAUUAUUGUUUCCUCUGUCGACUGUUCAUCCUCUUUUGUAUUGUGCACCAGCCACUGCAGUGAUUGCUGCAUAAAUUUUCUUCAUGCUUUAUUCUCAUUUACUUCAGUGCCUAAGGGAAGGAUUUUAUUGAAAACAUUGAAAAAAUAAUGUAGGUAUCUGUAUAAUACAGAAAAUGUGUGUACAUCUGUAGUAGAGAUAUAAUUUACUAAAUAUUUAUGAAUGAUUCUUCUUAGAGCAGUUCAAAAGCUGAAGGGAUGAGGAAGAUGCAACCUGAAGGGUGGUAGUGGUUGUUGUUUUCUUUUUUUUUUGUGGGACUUUCCAUAAGUGUUUCCAAGUGUUUGAGGUCUCCUGUGUUGUCUGUUAUUUCAUAUCUGAACAGGACAGCUAUCACAUUUCAUUCUUCAGCACCCUUUGGAAUAAAGAGAGACUAUGUAGCUCAUAUAAAUGAAUAGUUGAGAAAAUACUGUUUUUGAGGUGAAAUUAAAUACUUAUGGAAGACUCCUUUUGUUUACGUCAAUGAUUUGUGGACAGGAAGCACGCUGAAGGUAGAUGCCCAAUGGGAUGAGAUAAGGCUUCACAGGAAUCAAGUGGUCUUAAAGUCCUGUCCUACUUUGUGAUAAAGGGCAAAGGAAUGAACAUUUUCUUACAAUCGUUGGCAAAUUCAUGCACUAAUUUGCUCUCCAGCUUUUUAAGGAGUACCAGCCUGGAAAUCUACUAAGGUGGGGCACGGCAUGUCAUUUAGGAAAGUACUUCUAAUUGUUAAAUGCCUUUUGUUUAUCAGUUCCAAUAUCCUUUAGGCCUCUAGGUUGCUCUCCUGUCUGCUAGCUGGAGAUAUUGCAUAGCAAAUUCUUGGGACAUUCUGAAGGCAGCUAUGUUCCAGAUGUGGUCAGAGGGGCCACAGACCCACCUCAGUGUCCUGGCAUGGCCUGCAUAAAAUAGGGUGCUAGCAGAGAGAGGAUGAGUCUUGGAUCUGUGUACCCCUUACAAGGUGAGGAGAUGGGGAUGGAGAAGAGUAAAGUGACAGAGAGUAGGAGAGAGAGAGCUUAAAAACCUAAUACUAAUUUUAUUGGUGUAAUUUUAAGACUUUUCUCUGGAAUAUUGCCCAUACAGGUAUAAUCAUUUGGUGCUCUGCGUAACAAACCAAACAGGACAAUUGACCUGACAGGUUCAGUUUUUUAUUAUUAUAAUUUAGUUUUGUAUCUGUAGGGGAAGACUAAUAAAGUUAAGCCUGUGAGGAAAGCUAUUAAAAGACUCUUAUUUUUCUUUACAUUUUCAUUUCCUUCCAUUCCUAAGAAUUUUUAUUACUCAUGCUUGCUAGUAUAUCUAACUCUUCAGCAUGCUUUUGCAUGCUUAUUGUGUAUUGAUAAGCUAAACUGCAUCUCUUUGUUAUAAUUUUGUUGAGCCUCAUUAGUUUCCAACCUAGUUUGUGCGUCAUACGUUCAGUAAUGCAGGCAGGAGAAUGGAGCUGGCUGCCUAAACCACUGUGGUACUUCUGUGUGUCUCCUGGUGUUCUCCACUCCUCUUCUCCCUUCCUUCUUGUAGGCACAGUGCCAACAAACACAGCUUGCCAAGGUGGUCAGCGUGAGCCCUUAAUUCGUCUCUUCCACAAAAGAACAUGAACUUUGGUUGGCUUCAUUGCUGGCUGUCAGAAUUAGAAGCUGUGGCCUUGUUUGCAAGUCCCAUCUGCAAAGCAUGUAGUUUGGCUAUUAAGAGAUGAUUCAGCAUGGUAGUCACAGAACCACAGAAUUGUAGGGGCUGAAAGGGACCUCUGGAGAUCAUUUAGUCCAACACGCCUGCUAAAGCAGAUUCCCUGCUGUAGAUUGCACAGUAAAAUGUUCAGACUGGUUUUCAGUAUCUCCAGAGAAUGAGACUUAAUUACCUCUGGGCACCUUGUUCCAGUGCUCUCUCACCCUUAAAGUAUAGAAGCUUUUUAUCAUAUCCAGAUUGAAUUUCUUGAGUUCCAGUUGCCUCUUUUUCUGUUGCUGAGUGCCACUGAAAAGAGCCUGGCCCCAUCCUCUUAACUCCCUUCCAUUAGAUAUCUUAUAAGUAUUGAUAAGAUCCUCCCUCAGUCUUCUCUUCUCCAGGCUGAACAGUCCCAGGUCUCUCUGCCUUUCCUCAUAAAGGAGAUGCUCCAGACCCCUCAUCAUCUUUGUGGCCACUCACUGGGCUCUCUCUAAAAGAUCCCUGUCUUUCUUGAACUGAAGAGCACAGUUCGGGACACAGUACUCCAGGUGUGGUCCCACUGGAGUCAUCUGGUGACACUUAUAUGAGCGAGAGACUUGUGUGCUAUUCCUGAGUAAUGGUGACACAUGCCAGGUGAAGAAUCCAGUUGUAGUUAAGCUUAAUUUUUAAUCUCUUACCCAGAUAAGUGGCUGCAAUGUCGCUAUGUCUUCUCUCUUUGCCCUUUCCUCUUCCCUGCUCUCUACUUCCCUUGAACUGUGGGCUCUCAGGCUAAAUUUAACCAAAGUUUAUAAAGGGAUAGAACUUUUAAAUAGAAUUAGUUUCAUGAGUUUCCAUCGCAAUGCGGGGGGAAUAGAGAGACCCAAAUUUGUGCCCUAGCUGAGGAGAAACUGGGCAGACUUCAACCAGGCUGUGCUGUUUUUGAGUGCGUGGAUAUCUCUGGCCCUCCCAUAUUCGGACUGAUCAGUCAGCAUGCAUUUAACUCCAGAGCUGCCACACACUUAUAAUCCCUUACAUGCAAGGCAGAGAGACUGGUGUUAUUGUGGGAGCGAGAAAGGCUUAAAGGGUACAAGACACAAGCUGGCAGAAAAUUAACCUUCCAUAGUUCGUAGGAUGGCUUUUGUGCUUGGGUAUAAGAAAAGGGCAUGCUGCAUAGACAACUGCUGUAUAUUAGCAAACAUGAUGUAGCCAUUGGAGUAAUACAGCUUAUCUGUGUUUGUCUCCAAUGGCGUGAACUCUCUGUGGAUAUUAUCCAUUUUGUGCUGCUCAGUCAGACAAAAAGCAGCCUAGCUUGCAUGUUUCUUGGCUGUGAUAGUUUGCAGAUGGAGUUCUGUGGGAUGCAUUUUCUAAACUCAUAAGAGUGGAGUAAAGAUUGUGUACUAUUUUAUACUUCGGUUCAGAGUCCAUUCUACAGCUUCUUUGUGUUCCAAUGCAAUUAAUAACACUGUCUUUUCUCUUAAAAUUCUUAAUUUUCAUGUUUUGUAAUAAGCGUGCAAUUAUGAAAUUGCAUUAUAUACUGCCUCUUCCAGGAUCUUCCUGGAACAGAUUUAGUUUGAAGUGUUACAGAAACAACUUCUGUCCAAACACAGGCAGAAUGACUGUGGAUAUGGAAAAUUUCACGGGCUUUGGCAGUCAGGUGAUGCUGCAGCAAGGCACGUAUGUGAUUUCCAUGUUAGACAAUUUUAUAUUUUCAGUUGGUAGCAUUUUCUAUGAUUGUGGGUCAAUCUGUUAUGCUACUCUGAUCACUUUAAUUGAUUUAAAAAAAAAUAAUGUAUAAUUUUUUUCUCUUUGAUAAAUACAUGUAAACAAAGCUACCUUGAAGCAUCAUCAGUGCUGCAUGACAUGUCAACAAAAACCUUUGGUUUUAGCAGUAAAUGCCAUCUAGCAACAUUAUUCAGUUAAAUCAAUUCUAGUUACUCUGGUAUUUAUAAUACAUUUAGUUUGUAUUGUAGGUGAUAUAUCUUAUUACGGCUUACUCUAUCAUAUUAAAUGCUAUAAUACAACAUGCAUUACAGACUUAUGUUUGAAUAGUGACACAAAUAUUAAUGUGCUCCUGGGAUAUAGCUCUGUUUUCUGUGUUUCCUACAGUCCUCACCCUCAAUGUUAGAAUCAGUUUUCAGAGCUGGGAAUGUUCUCGGGAACAAGGAUUAAAUUACCUCUGAGUCACAGAAGGCAAAGCAAAGAGCUGGUCAUCAUUGGGCUGCGUAUGUGCCCACACAGUGCUAGGAUUUCAUGUAGGAUACGCAUUAAGUCACUGACACCAAGACUUGAUGUUAAGUGUCAAAUAAACCAUGUGUGUUAUUAAAGGAUGAGCUUAAGCUUAUAUGAAGUGCCUUGCCAGAUCUGUUGUUAAAGCCUUUAAGCAAAAAGUUGAGAGAGAACAAUGGAAGUUGUUGCAGAGAGAGAGUACCAUCUCUUUUUGUAAAUUACUUUCAGCCUGUGGGUCACUCACAAGGUUGGUUUGUUCCAUAUUUACUGUUCCCAGUGAAGUGACUGGUCCAGAGAAGUUUCCUGUCAUGUCCCUUCUCUGAUUUGGUUUUAAAAUUCCCGGAAAGACUUCAUACUCCUGGAUGAACAAGCCUAUUUGUAGCAAUAUAAGACUUGAGAUCAAGAUGCUUGUGAAUGGCAAGCAGAAGAGCUGAGGUGAAUACCAUCCCACUGAUUUGGUAGCAUGGUUGGCAUUGGAAGUGACCUGGCUUUUGGAGGGAUUACUAACUGCCCGUAUAAACAAAUGAGCAGAAAUCUGUGUGAACACAUAGGGGAAGGCAGCAGCAAAAGGCUGGCUGUCACAGCAAAGAGUACUGCAAAUGUAUUGAAAAAUAGUUAGAAGUCUAAGUGUUUCACAUUGCUUGUUGUGUACCUCAGAUCUGCCUUCACAGUGGGGAGUGUUUCUAAUACACAAGGGAUGUAUCAUAGACAUAGUUUAAGCUUGGUUGUGGGGUGCUGCAUGAGGGCUGUGCACCACCCAUACAGCUGCGUUUCUUCUGUUCUCUACCAGUGUGGUGUAAAGCCACAAAGGGCCAUUUCAGAUUGCUGUUAAUGAAACUGAUUCAAGACUUGGCUCUACUCCCGUCUUGUUUUUGUUGCUGCAAACUGCCCAUAAACUUAAUAAGAAACUGAGGACACUUGCAAGCCAUUCUAUUGCAAGGCUGCUAUAAACAGCUCUGCCUGUGAAGUGGUUGGUGGUUAUUCCUGCUAAAAAUGCUCCUGGAGACGUGGUAUUUCUGUUACACUUUGUGAUCCCCGCAGAGAACACGUGCCCCCUUUGACGUGAGACUCUGCGGAGUUCACUGAAAGGUUGAGGCUCCCACCUUGCACGGAGACUGGCUUUACAAUGCAGGACAUGUCCAGCUGCAGAGGAAAAGCUAGAGGCUGCUUAGUGAAGUCCCACAGUAGUCAUUACAGCUCCAAAACCCUGAUCUAACCAAGAACCUGUUUUUUCCCACAGACUGUCCAAGAAAUAAUGACUAGUCAGUGAUUGAUUCUUGUUCCUCAUUUCCUUUCAGAUGUUUUGAGGUUAAACAUAAUGCUGUGAUUUGGAAUUCAUGCAGGAACCAGAAGUCUUGUUGCCAUACAAUCCUUCUUCUGGCUUCUCAGCUGUGAACAGGCCCUGCUGCCAGCGGUUUUACCAGAUCGAAUUUUCCCCAGUUUUCUUUUGAAGUGUAAAUUGCACACUGGUCAAAUUGGGUAAAAUAUGUGCUCCCUUCCUCCUUUCCUGUGUCCCAGACUUUCAGUUCAGAUCGUUCCUGCUUGGUGAGAAGUCUGGGCCACAGAUUAUUGCACUUGUUAGACUGCAGUGAUGGAAUUGUGAGAAGUACCAUAUGAUUGACAGGCACAAAAAUGAAUCCCACAGUGUGGAAGUGAUGUCUUUCCACUUCUCUUGGCAGCCUACCAAUUACAGCUGUGCUUUGCUUAAUAGACAGAAUUUCUCAGAGUCUCGGAAGCUGGUUGUGGUCAGUUCUGAAAGCAACGUCUCUGUGUGUAUUCUCUUGAUUCCAAGUUACUGCUGUCCUGAAGGAGGGCCUGUCCUGCUGCUCUCUUCACAAGCUGCCUGCUGGCAGUGUGGCAUUUUGGGGAAAUGUAACUCACAUGGAAUAUGAAACAUAAAUACAGCAUGCUAGGGAUUAUUCUGUGAUGUUUUCAGAUUUGAAAAAUUAAGUGAUUGCUGUGAAAUUCUUAAUUAAAAACAAAUCUGCUGUGUUUAUAAGAAUGUUGUAAUGUGCUGCUAUGGUUAGAAGAACACAGAAGAGAAGGCUUUGUUGAAAUGUAAACACUUCAUGAAUUAUUACUGCAGUGCACUGUCUGAAUGCACUCAUCCAGUGGCACAGUACUCAACAUUCAAGGGAAUAUAACUGUAGCAAAGGGCUAUUAGGCUCAGAUUCAGUAUUUAGGCGCCUAUCUUUCUGCUCCAAGUUUGCUGUAUCCAUAUUCUUUCUUAACUCUUCCCCCAACUCUGCCACCCCUGUUUUUUUGGCAUUUCUGUGAGCUUUUUUCGUCUUUUUAGGGUAGAUCUCUGCAGAAAUAGGAACUGGCAACUUAAUCUGUUUUGAAUGAAUGUUCAUUUGCUGAGAGAAUCGUGCUUGUGAAUUGGAUCUGCAGCACAGUCUCUUUUGCUAAUACCUUGAGAAAAAAUAGCUAUGUCAGCAAAGCUGGGAAGGCUGUGGGAAUCAGAGAAAAUGGUUCCCUCAAAGGAUAAAUAAAAGGACUUUGCUUAUUUGCGUCAGAACAUGAUGUCUAGAACAGAGUUUUAACUGGCUUCAUCACCUGCCUGCAGGCGGUGCACAGUGUGGAAGGGCUGUUGUAGUGGGUGCAGAGGUGCAGCCUGUGCUGAAACAGCUGCCUGAAAGGUCAGAAAUACAAAUACCACUGGGCUCCUUCUGAAAAUCUCACUUAGUGGUUUUGACUGUCCCAAAAGAUAAGGGGUAGAUUUGUCUGGUAUUCCUACUUGGACAGUUGCAGAGGUGAACAGUCCUCCCAGUGCAAGAACUCCUGAGAAAUAGGAGCACAGCAGGCAUUGCUUAGAUGGUUGAGCAGUGGCAUCUGCAGAUUGAACACUGAAAUUCUAGCAAACUACCUUAAAUCUCAUCACAGGGAACAAUGCCAAAUCAUAACAUCUUCAGAGUGAAUCACAGAAAGGUUGGACUGAUUUCAGAAGGAGAAUAAGCUCAACUUUAUAUUCAGAAUUUGCCUGCUGAAAUCUGUAAUUUAGUUCUUUCUAGUAAAGAUUCAAUCAAUGCUUUUGAGCAUAACAGUGUUAAUGCUAUGUGCACAAACUUGAUUUCAGUUUGGGUUUGGAGGAACUUACUGUAAGCAUGGUAAAAUGAGAUGUGAACCAGUCAUCUGAAUACUAGGCUAUGAAAAUAUAAAUAUGUGUCAAAACCAUAGUUCUCCUCAGUUUUGCAAACUGCUGAGUUGGUGUGGAUCUUGCUCAAAUUGUACCCAACACUAAAAUCUUGCAUUUUACAUGUGUGCAGGUGGUACUAAAAGGGAUAUUUCUACAAUUAGGCAGUCCAGGGCAGCGUUUUCAGGCAGCCACUAUCCAGUGCUGAACACCAGAGGGCACAAAGUCUCUAACAGUUGUCUCUUCUGGCUGUCUCAGAGCCAAUUCUUAAACGAGUCUAAAUACUGUAAGGCUUAGGAAAGCAAACUCAAAACUCCACUGGAAAAGCAAAGGGAAAGUAAAUGCACUAGGAGUUUUAGAGGGCAGAAGAAAAAGGGUCUUACUUGCAUCAUGUGCACAGCUGUACUAUGAGAGCUUGUGCCAAUUACUUGUAUAAGGCAUGCACCUGUGUUUUUAGUUUUAAAUGCAAGGUCAUGUGUUAGCAGUGUGCUGCCACUGCAUGUUUAUGGGAGUUGCCUUAUGCAUGAAUGAGAACGUGCUUGGAUUAAGCAGGUCAUUCUGAAGUAGCAAUGAUCAAAAUGACUUCAUAGAAUGCAUUUAUUUCUGUAUGCUGUGCUCUUUAGAAAGAUUGCCUUAGAAAUAAGACAGGAAAAUUUGGAACCACUUAGUUACCCAACUGGAUGAUUCUCUUCACAUAUAAAGCUGUUGUGUUGUCAUAAGUCUGGGUUGCACAGAAUUGCAGGGAAAAAAUACUGGUAAUAAUUCUAAAGAAUUUUCUGAGCCAUAUCUAAAAUUAUUGUGAUGUUAGCCCCUCCUGGCUCAAAGUGAGAAUUUGCAAGUAAAUGCUUGUGAGCUUUCAGUAGAUUUUUCAAAUGAACCUGUUGCCAGACUGUGGCCUUGAACUUUGGGACCCUCUGGGCCUCACAGCAAGCAAUAUGUCUCCCUUUGUCAUGCUUUUGAUGUAGGAAAUUAAGUAUAAUACUACUCUCUGAGUUGUGUGAGGCUGACAGCUUCACAGUGUUAGAAUUAAAUCUGGAAGAAACAGACUUCAGAGAUGACUGUAAUUUAUCAUAUGAUACAACCUCAGUGUAUUUUAUUUUAAAUUUGAGUCUAAAACCAGUGAAUAAAGCUGUAAUCAUCCUGUCAGCACAUCUAACUACUUUCAAAAUUAGACAGUGUUCAGUCUAAGUGAAUAAAAUUUGGUUGUAAUUUCAGGAAUGCCAUUAAACUUCUAAUUAAUUUCUAGGAAGUGAGGCUAGUCCAGUGCUUCCAAAGCAUAUCUACAACUUGGGAGGCUGAGAGUUAAACCCUUGGUGUACCACUGGCUUCCUGCUGGAUGUUCAUGUCAUGGUGCUUCAAGUACAAGGUCCUCAGGGAGGAUUAACUCACUCAGAAAUUUGGGUAGAGUUCUGGAUGCCUGAAAAUAUCCUGAAAGUGUUAUUAGGGGUGCUUACCAUCAGUCUGGCUCUCUCAAGAAGAGGUGAAGAUGAUCUGAGCAAGCUUUUUCAGUCAUGAGGGAAAUCCUUUGCCAGUUUUGUGUGUGAUGUUGGCUAGGUGCAUAUUAUUUUGCACUAGUGAAGAAAGCUAAACUGUUUUGGCCAUGCUUCCACAUUGUUUAGGCAUUUGGUGAGACCAGGUAUGUGGGGCUGCAGCCUGGUGCAACAGAGAGCCAUAACUGGUUGCUGGGGUUGAUUUGGUCUUUUUUUUUCCUCUGGCACACAUGUGUAUUUAGGAUGCUGUAGGCCACAGCCUGCACAUCAGCUUUUUGGGGGAGUGCCAUGAGCUCAGUGUAUGAUGGUAGGCUGCUGACAGAUGAUGGCAGGCUGAAAACCAGAAAUGGAACAGCCUGUGGCUGCCCGCCUCUUGAGCAGAGUGACAAAAAAUACAUUUACCUCUAUGUCAGGUGGCAGCCAUAGCAGGAGAGCUUCUGGCUUGUGCUCUUGGCUUUUUUGCCUGGGACAGUCCAGAUCAGAAACUGGGGCAAUAAUAUUCCUGUUUGGGAACUCCCUGAGGGAUAUAAUGGUAUGUUGGCUGUGGCAGGGCUUCAGGCUGGCUCUGUGCUAGGCAGAGAGGUGGCCGGGCCUCUGGCCUGGCACUGUGUUGGAGAAGUAGAAAACCUUGGAACUGGAGGACAACAUGCUCCCUGAGGAGGAGCUGCCUAGCAGAAGGGUCCUGCAAGAUGGCUCUGCACCACAGGCUGGUCACUCACUGAGCUAAGCUGCUCUGAACCAAAAUUGGCAGUCCUAGGUGAGGAACCUGGCUGCGAGGAGGGGCAGGGGGCCUACUGCGAGUGAUGGGGACAGUCAGAAAAGCUGUCAGGUCUCCCUUGGUCUUAGCACCACCUUGUGCUGGUAAAUAUAUUUCCCUUGGGGAGUCCAUGCUCAGUCAUGCCUUUCACUGGAGAGGUUUCCUCUGGUCUGUUUUGUGCUCCCACUCCAGUCUUUGAAAAUCUGUAGCAAACUGUUAGUAAAAGUGGUGAUUGGCCAUGUCUUCCAGCUCUUUCUGAAGAGGUGUCUCAGAGCAGGAGCAUUUGGACAGUGUGAGCAGAGACUGGAGUGUGUUGGUACAGCUGCAAAGAGUUAUUUGCACUAUGCCUGCCUGUAGCCUAUGCAAAUAGCAGGAGAAGCAAUUCCUUGCUUCUGUAGGACCUGACUUCAUUCAUGUCUAACUGUGUGCACCUGUGCAUUUAUGAAACAUAAAUAGGCUGUAUGGUAGAGUGGAAAAUCUAGUAAGAAGCACAAAAGUACCUGGUCUGUUUCUGGUACCACAAAGGCCCCCAGGAGAGCAUAGCAUUUCAGCAAGCUGGAAAAAUGUUUGGUGUGUGUUACUAGGCAUUUUUCAGGCAUAUUUAAAAACAAAAACACUCCCUUAGAAAUAAUUGUCUUUGAUCUCUGCUACAUUCUAAGCAGCGCCUUUCUGCUUCUAAAGCAGCUAAGAUUCGUUGUGCAACAGAUUGUUACAAAUCUUCUGUUAUAUCAGGAAAGUGGCUGCAGGAAGUGUCUGUCCCUGAAUUCAGUGGUUCUUUUAUGAGUAUAUUUAUCAAGGAGGUAAUGGACAGCGAGAAGCAUUCAACACUGAUGUUAUUCAUCAGCAACACAUCUCUGAAUUUUAAUGAGUUCUCUCUAGGCUUUCAAGAGCCUCCUGUUUUGUUCCCAUAAAGUAUUCUGGCCUUCCUGUAUUCUAGCUCCAUCAUACCCCUCAAGGACUGCUCCCUGCUGCCCUGAGCUCCUGGGGAGGUAAUCAGUUGUCUCAGGGGGCUUAUGGAGCUUCACCCAUGUUCUCCAAGCAGGGGCAGUGGUGUGAAGUCUGUAAAUACAUUUGGGUUUUCAGUUCUCCUUUCUCAGCACUUAAUUUUUUUUUUUCAGACACCUGCCAUUUCAUAAUUUUGGUUUUAAAAAAAAAAAAACAAAAGAUGAUCGUAUGAUAUUCCAGAACUGAUCUGUUCCCAGCUCUCUGACCUUCUCUCUUGUCGACUGUCACUUAAUUUCUUAUGUUUGUCGUAGAUGCUUAUUACUUACAAAUAGUAACUGUGGUGCAAAUAGUAAUUCCGCUUGUUGAAAAAUUUAAGAUUAACUGAAGGAAGGGUCUUGCAUAUAGUGGUCAACCAAAAUUAAGUGUUGGCUUCCUACAGUGUGCCACAGUCUGGGAGAAAAUCAACUAUGCCCCUUAAUGUACACAGCCAUUCUAAAUAAAAACCUACUUCUCUCUAAGAUAUAUAGUGCUCUGUUUCUUCAGUGUCCAUCAGCAUUUUAAAUGCAGCUGCGUUCACUAGGAUGCAUCUAGGCUUGUCUGGACAUCAAAGUCUCAGUUAUUCUGUAAAAGCAAUGAGUAUUCUAGUGGGGGGAGUUGGACAAUAUUUGGUUAUCUGCCUUUUGGCUUCUUUCUGAAAAAUUGUACCACUGGAGUACUCACUGUUGUUUAUAUGAUUUUCAUUGACUUCAGUGAGCAAUGGAUCAGGCUGUAUAAGCACAAUUUCCUCAUUGUUAGCAGCUGUUCAUUGCUUAACAUUGCUUAAGCCACUAUUCAGCUGGCCAUCUGUGAUCUGAGACUUCUCAGACUGCAAGAAAAUAGUUAGCUGUUCCAUUUUAGCAGGAGAAUAUUGCAACUUAUCUUGGGAAUGUAUUUGUACAAGGAUUAAUAAUGUUUUUCCCCAAUAUCUUUUGCUUGUCACUUGCUCAUCUGUGGUUCUAACACGUGUAUGUUAAAUACAAUAAUAGAAUCUAUGCUUUAUACAUUCAAAGAUGUUUUUGUUUUACUAAGAUGCUGAGAAAUUAAUUCUGUUAGCAAUAGGCAGUCCAUAUAAUCAGUAUAUGUAUUAGUUCAUCAGUCUGUGACACUUGUUGGUCCACACGGAACGUCGUAAAAUUUUACAGAAUUAUAAAGAUAGGUCCCUGUCCUGGACCAAUUCAGAAUUAUUUGGCAGUGAGCUAUGGCACCAAAUCAUGACUGAGAGUUUUGGAUAUAGCUGAAUCAAAUGGUGUAAGAGAACUGAAUGUACGUUACUUCAAGUAUGCAUAUGGCUAAGAGUAACCAUUUAGAAGUAGAGUUAUUGUCUUCUAAUAAUUCUCCAGAAAAAAAGCAGCUGUGGAGUUUUGUAUCAAUAAAUCAGCAUUUCAGCAAAGCUGUUGCAUUAUUCUACAUGGAUUGUACCCACAUUCUGCUUCCUACAGGAACUACUUGGAAAUUCCCGAUGACGAAUAUUUCCCUUAACACCGAACACUUUUUAGAAGAGUUAAAGGAAUGUAGUGAGAGACAGAAACAAGGAAUGAAAGAUUGUUUAUGGAAGCUAGUCCCUUUCGUGGACCUGUUAUAUUAGCCCAAGUUAUAAAGUAAUAUAUGUGGUGAGCUUACUAGAAAGGAAGUUAUCAUUUUUGCUUAGGAAUAUUUUAUCCACGUUUAUAAUAAUUCCUGGACUGAAAGCCACUCCUCAGUUUGCUCAUGCAGUAAAGCAAAUGGUGGCAACUCCCAUUUUAGCUUCUGGCAAGUGGUCUUCUGCCCAACACAUGCUUUCAUUCAUGUUUUCACUAGAUACCACCGAUGCACAUCUCUGUGAACUGGGGAAAACCUCAGUUUUCUCUGGUCUCUGAGCUUCUUUCACUUUGAGUUUUUAAUCUAAAACCAGAGAAAUCAAUUUUGCUGUUGCUGUGGAAGCCUAGCUACUCAUUCAUAUGACCAGAAAUACAAAAAUGAGGUUGGAGGGGAGAAAGGUGAUGCAAUACGAUUUCCUUGACUUCCUGAAAACAGGAUUUCGUUGUGCCCAAAUUUUCAACUUUUAUUUAUAAGGAAAAUUGCUUGAAGGUCCUUUCCAACCUGAGCAAUUCUAUGAUUCUAUGAUUUCAUCAAAGUUUUCCAGCCUAUGGGAACUUAACGAGCUUCAUGGAGAUCUCAAAAAGAGUUUUCCGGAUGCCAAAAUAAAUGUCUGACUUCAUCAUUCCCUGGGAGGAGAGCCUGCUGAGCUCUCCUGCAGCAGGAGGGUGGGUCUUUGCACUGCACUAGGAUCUUUGUUGACUCUAUGAAUCCGUCAGCAAAGUUUUGGAGAGAGAUGAUAUACAGGACUGUACCUUGCUCUAGGAACUGCCAAGAGAAGCACAAAGACUCCUUCCUAUAAACAAGACGUGAUACACAAGUUCUCUCUUUCUUAGCCAGCUCAACAGCUCGGAGGCCAUUCCCUCCAUUAGGUGACAGGGAUGGGGGUGAGGGAAUGUUCUUGCAUCCUCCAAAGCAUAUAUUAGAAGAGUUUAAAAUAAUGAAAUAAUGUUUUUUUUUGCCAUAGUCAGGCUUUGUUUGCCAAACCAUUAAGUCUACGUGGUAAGUAAACCUUACAAAAAUGUAAUACAUCUUCUGCACAUUUAGUAGAUGUUGGUAGAGUUAUCCACUAUAGGAAGUUACAUAUCAAACUGUACAGUUUAGAGCCUGUUCUGUGUACUCAGUGAAUCCCAGACAUGUUUAAUAUUUCUCCCUCUGAGGUUUAACAGCGUAUAAAUAACAUUUAAUAAACAACCUUUAACUUUAAACAAAUGUAUUCAGAUGUAUGAUAUCUGCUCAAAUCUCAUGUUUUAGGAACACUUGUAAAUACUGAACUCAUUAAAUCUAGCAGUAUGUCUUUAAUUUACAUGCAUUCAGUUUCUCCCAGCAACAUCAUUUUCAGUGUCACAGCUAAGGAUGCAUUACUUGUGUUAUGAACUGCUGUUUCAAAGGUGAGCAAUUUUGCAAUCAUGAUUUGCAGAUAAUUUAAACUUGCACAUGAAGUUCCUGCCCAAGAGCCAUUUUUUCCCUAAAUGUAUUCAGAGAAAUAGUUUAUUCUUCAUGUUGUUAUAGUGGAAAAACACUGCCACAGUGCUUUCAUUUUUUUGUGCCUAUAAGCACAGUGCUUUAAAAUACAAGCAUGUGAGAUAUAUGCUAGGAUAUUAAGCUACUUUUCAACUAGAAAACUUUUUUUCCAAGUCCCAACACUGCACCCCUCUGAUCAUUUUCAUUUGAGAUCCCACCACCCAAUAUUAUCUUUUAAUUAUCCAUCAUUUUUAAUAUUGCCAAGGAUGGAGCUCUUACCAUUGUCAUUUAAGAUUGUUUGUCAGGUUUCUGGAGAUCUCUGACUGCUCUAAAUGCAAUCCUUAUCCUCCUAGAUAUUGAUCAUUUUCACCUGUGCUGACUUAGAUGGACUUCGGGUGCUCAGCUGCUGUUAGCAUUUGCCUUUGUGUAGUAUUCGUUGGUGUGAAGGUGUAGAGCCUGCUCAGAAUAAUUGGAAAUGAAGGAGAGGUUGAUUGACAGUUCAUCAAAAAUUCUCUCAAGCUAUUGGAGAUACUAACACCAGCUUCAAUGAGUGUUAGGCAGUGAUUUCUUGAUUAUAGACAUAUCUGGAGAUCUUGCAAUUGCUAACCUCAGGAUACAGAUAUCUUCUUGAGUAUUGCUCUAAUGCGUAUGAAAGGACAUUUUGAGUACCAGUUGCUUAUCACUUCUGUUUCAGUAAUGUGCAGUGUUUUUCCUGUGAUUAUAUAAAAAGGGAUUCGUUAGCAUUUUGAUUAGAUUACCAACAGUAAGAGUCUGUAAUUCAGAGACAAAGACAUACAGCUCCCAUACAGUCGCAUAGUAGCUUCCCAAACCACUGACUUAUGACCCUUUUUAGAAUGCAACAUACUGUGUAUCUCUUAUUGCUAAUGAAAUUGUUAAUGGAAGUCUAAAUUCAGUACCCAGAGAGUGUCAAGGCAGCCUUACUUCAUCUAUUCUGUUUGCUAGUGGUUAAGGUAAAAUGUCUAUUCAAUGUUUAAAACUGCCCUUCAGUUGCUCACAAAAAGGGGAACUGUUCUCAGUUCUAUUUCGUGUUAUCCACUGCCUGCUUUGCAUAGAGCUUCAUGGGUAAUUAGGUAGGAAGAUUUUUUUUAUAGUCCCUGAACUACCUAUUCCUUUAGGAGAAAAUUGAAGGCAAUAAUUUUUGGUGGAUUCCAGCUGGUGAAAAGUCCCUUGCCCAGACAUAGCAGUGAAGUGUUACUAAGUUCUGUACUUUGUCUCUUUUGGUUGAAAACCAACCAAAAGCUUUCCUGGAGAAGUUCUCUAGAGAUGCAUGAAGUAAGCAAUGCUCUAAAACGAAACAUUAAUGCCAGUAUGAGUGAAAUGAGUUAGCAGGCUUUCACCUAAGGUGCAGUGGUAGAGACCCUGCUAUUAAUUGUUCAGUUGGCUGAGUUCAAGAUGAGGUGAAAUUACCCAAGGGAGUGGAGUCCAUGUCCAGUUCAAAACUCCAGCAAAUACAUUGAGUGCAUAAGUUAAAACGCUCCCACAAGUGGUGCUGCUGGAGUAAAAUCUGGGAUUUCCUGGAUUAGUUGUCACAAAAAAAGUACAGUGGGAAUUCUGAUGUUUUGUAUAACCAAAAAUGGAGCACUCGCUUUUCAGUUUAAUAUUUUUAGGUUUUUUUCCUCUUUUUAAACUUGAGUCAAAUAAUUCUGUCUUAUAGCAAAACAUAGGCAUGUGUAAUAAUGUGGAAACAAAACACUUCAUCAUUUCUGAAAUGAAUUAUUAUGGUUAGAAAAUAUUGAAAGGAAGCCUUUCAUUGUUGAGGGCAUUUUUUCCUGGUCAAACGUUUUCAUGAAAUCUGACCUGAAAUGGGAAUGGAUUCCUAUUCGUGCCCUCCCUCCUUUCCUCUCAAAACUGUAGGUUUUGGCUAACUGUUUAUGAAAAGAAAAAUGGCCAAGGCUGGCUGUGCUCUUCAUUUACUUUUAUAACCUUUGUCCUCACUGCCAAACAAAGAUUGGUUUCAUAAGUUUCUCAUUGGUGUCUUCCACUUCUCAGACCCUUAGAGGUCAAGGAUCAGCAAGUAGGUGGGAGGAAAGCAAAACUAGUUCAAAGGAAGAAAAGUAAAUGUAAAUCUAGGCUAGUUAUGUGGGUUUUCUUCUUGUUGUGAAAGGGCUGAAAUACUUCACCCCAGAGAUAUCAGGCAUAUCACACAGUUGCCACAGCUGGAGGAGUUAUUCAGCAUUCGGUGAUUUGCUGAAAGUAGUCAAUGUGGGGCAAGCACAAGGCAAGACAAAUUUGUCUCAGCCUCUUUCACUGAAGUUAUGCUAAUGUGUUUUACCUCACAGUCAUGGAAAGCUGCAAGUGAACUCCUCGCAUGCUCGGCUGACAUCAUUGUGUCCUGGUCAUCAGAGAGGAGGAUCUUCCACUGGUUAAACACACUGUGACCUUCAGGGGUGGUGUGAGCAAAGGCCACCACUGCAGCGGGUUGGAGAGUUUUGAAAUAAACCCAAAGGCUGUGUUUUUCACACGUUCUUUGUCCUCCCACACUUCAGCUAGAUGUAAAUACAAAUGAAGCCUGCCUGUAGCAGUGGUGACUACUGCAGACCAAGAAAAAGGAAUGAAAAGACAUAUUAAUUUAUUUUGCAGCAUCAAGGAUACAAGCAGCAUUUUCAGCUCUUUGCAGGCAGUGAUCACAUUUCUCCUGUGUGCUCGUAGCUUGUCUUGCUUACUGCAGGUCCUAGCUUGAGCCCUAGCAGCUGCGGAACGCAAAGGGCUGUGCGUGAAGCAUCUUGAUCAGCUCCCAGCUGGCUGCUGCUGCUCUCCCAGCCCCCUCCGAAUUACCAGGGCUGCCGCCUGGCUCAGAUAUGCUCAGGGUUACGUAUGUGAGCGUCACUUCUGUAACUGUAAUACAGAUAAGAAUUUACCAGUGAUCUUGAGAGAUGUUCCUGACCUGACGUGUGGGAAGGCAUGUGACAGCAGGAUCCAGUGCUGCACUACCAGUGAGACAAACAAACAUGCUCACAUCCAAGUGGUUGCGUUGCCUCGUCAGACCUAGCAAACUGACGACAUCAUUCAGAUAGUCUUUCUUUCUAGAAGUUUCAGAGAACUGUGGGCUAAGAAGAGUUUUAUGCGGACAUUCUCAAUGUUUCUCUAGUUUCUAUGGAGGUUGCCCUUUGUGGAAGGAAGGGAAGGAGGAGGCUGGCCAGAGGCAGACCCUGAACAAAAUGGGAGCUGCCAGGUAAAGCUGAGGAAAAAAAACAAAGCAAGCCUAAUUUCAGAUCUGCAACAUUUUCCCUAGCAAAUGUGUGUGUCUGUUUCAUAAUUGAUUCAUACUUAUCUGGAAGACUGUCUGAUGGUUUCCAUGUAAAGGAACUUCUGGGAAUGGAUUAUCAGUAGGCUAUGUGCAAGGAGGUCAAGCUUUGUCUCUGCAGGGUGUGAGAGCAGCCCCUCCUCUGCUGACAUCAGUCUCUUCUCAAAGAGUUCUGCUGUUGGCAUGCUGUAUUCUCCUGGUCUACAUUCACUGGCAGGAGGAAAGGGGUGGAAGAAGGCUAAAAGAUGCUCUUCUUUAUUAUACCAAGAAGGUGACUGUGAAGGAUAAUCUGAAUGCAGUGUCAGCUGUGGCAAACUCAUGGGUCAAGGAGGAAAGUGUGUGAGAAAUAGAGGGUAUAGAAUCAUGUAUCCAUGAUGAUGAUAAAUCACAUUCAAAGACAUGGUCAUCUGAAUGCAGAUAGGAGAGGAACUAGCCGAAUAAAAUCAGAGAAAAGGAGUAGAUUUGGCAGUGUGUUAUUGCUAGCUGCCUGCUGCUGGGGCUCCCACAGCUUUGUGGCUAAGGAAGCCCCUGGGGGUCCUUGGAUCCAAGUGUGGUGGGAUGCAAGUUCUCCUUUAAUGCCAGGAUAUGGGGUCUUAAUCCAUUUCUGUGCAGGAUUUUUUUGUUGUUGUUCUCCUGGCUGGUGAUGCCAUUCCUAAAGUAAUUCAAGUAAAUGAAUACAAUAUGUUUGGUGAGUAUCUUACUGUAAUUAAGAUUCCCAGUUGGGUUUCUCAUUUAAGCAGCAGGAUGGUCUAGAGAAUUAAAUUAAAAAUUGGGAACGCUUCUGUCCUAAUCUCGCUCUGUGGAGUGAUUCAUGUUGCAUGCAGGGCUUGUUCACUAAGACCAACGCCUCCAGGCUUGGGUGCCUAAAGAUAGGUGCUUGGAUUUGCAUUUAGGCUCUCAAAUGAAGACUGUUUACUUUGCAGAGGUGCAGCUCCCUGAGAAGGAAAUGAGUUAGUAGGCAUUUGGCCUGUCUGGAAGAUGAGCCGCGCUUUAGGCACCCAAGCAGUAACUUUACCCUUUCAGGGGCACAGUUCACUCAGGUGAAAAUAGUGACAAAUGCUUUGCUGCUUCACAAGAGGAGAGUGAGGCUGAGUUGCUGAAGCUAGCGCUGCAGUGGCAUUUUGGAAAUAAAAAAAACUGUUGGUGUGUAUGUGCCUGACAGCAGUAUUCAUAGGAGAAGGAGCAUAAAUUUAUGAUGGAGAAGAGAAUAAAGGCAAAAGAAAACUUAAUUCUGAUUUUCCUGACUUAAUUGUAUGUUUAAAUCUCAGCCUUAAUGAGAGUCUAAAUCUCCAUCAAUUAGUAAAGCUUUUUCUUUUCUUUUUCUUGCGCAAUAUGGAAGAUAAUGAAUAGUCAAGUGUGAUUUAUAAGGGGAGAAAAUCUACCAGCAGGGUUUGCUGAAUUAAGCAAUUGAGUGGCAUUCCUGUGGAGUGGUUUUACAAUGUCACUUGAACCCCAUGGUUAAGCAGUUUCUAGGUAACUGGAGGCAGGUCUGUUUUCCAUAAUAUAUUGACUCAGCCAGGGACUGAAAACACACACACACACACACACACACACACACACACACACACACACACACACACCCUCAAACCUUGCUGUAUCCAUUGCUGCGAAAAUAAUAGAGCCUGUUUAAGACCUUGUGCAUAUUUUCAUGUCAAGCAACUUUUAAGUGGCUUGGUAUAUAAAGAAAAGGGAGAGUUGCUUGGCAAGUUGUCCCAAAUCAUACAUGCUUCUUGAUACAAGGAAUUUGCGAGAGAAAAUGUAUGCUCUGUUAGAAGUGCAAGAUUCAGAACAAGAUGAGAAUUUUGUUUGGCUCCAGAACAGAGCUAUGGGGGAAGCAGGCAAUGAAGGAAGUGCAAUAAUAAUGAACACAGAGGGAGGAGAAAUAAGCCUCGUUGUGAGAGGACAGAAAGAUGGUGUGAGGCUGAUGAAAGUGGGCACAGGUUGGUAAACACGAGGGAGUCAUUAUGGGAGGGAGCGAAGGAGUUGCUGGAGGCUUUGGGAGGUAGAACUUUGUGCUUAGUUUGGUGAAGCCCCUGCAAAGGGUUGGAAGGAAGUUGGAGAUGGCAGCAAAGCACAGACAAAGCCAAACUAUAAACAAACUGAAAACUUUUCUUCAAAGUAGUGCCAGAUGCUUCUGGCAGUCCUGCUGGCUCACGAGUGCUGGGAGUUCACGACACUGUUUGCACUGUCUAUAUUAUUCCACGGAUGAUGCUUAGAGGAGGGAAAUCCUGCCAGGCUGAAUGACUGUUUAUCCUAGACUGGUUGUAGGACACUACAUAAGGAGGAGUUUAUCACCUUUUGCCAUAACAGCCAGGAUGGGAAAGUUAAAGAAAACUGCCUUGACAAAUCAAUUUUGGCCUCUGUUAGGGAUGCAAGAAGCUUAGGCUGUGUAUGUGCAGUAGUUAAAAUGAAAGGGAAAUGCAAGCAUGUUUUUACUCCUUAUUCAGUCACUUCUCGCUGUAGGCAAGCUGACGAAAUGUUGGAUGGCUGCAUUUCCAAUAAGGAGGGAGCUGACACCGUGUCUGUUGUACCAUCUGUUUACCAGCCAUCAGUGUACUGAAGAGGAGCUUCAGUGAGGAGUGGGAAAACUUCCAGGGUUCACAGUUGUGUUUAACUGCUUGAAUGCCAGCAAUGUGAAGUCAACAUGUUGGCAAGCCUCAGGUUUUCAGAGCUAUAACUACUGCACAUAGAUUCUCCUUUUCAGCUAGCACAGCUUUUCUGCCAGCAUGCUUUUACUCGCUGCUGUAGUGGAGGAAACCUGGUCCUUUCUUGCCAGGCUGCAGCAGGAUGCUUUCCCUAUCUGUUUUUAAACUGCUCUGUGCUGAGAGUCUGUUCCCAGUGGAGAAAAGAAACCCCACAACCUUGCUAACAGCAGUAUCAAGAAUAAAGGCUGGAGAAGAAAGCUGUUUUGCUAUGCCUAUUGGUCAUCUCCCCCAUACAGACAAAGCUUUUGUUGAUGUGGCAUGCUGCUGUUGUAGCAAUGCUGGAAUGUCAGUAAAUAGUGAAUUAGUGGUGUGAAAUUACCAAAUACAUAAUAACUAAAAGCUUGAAAGAAGCUAGCAAUAGCAGUUCAGCUGUUCCCCCCUGGUUUGCAGUUCUGCUUUUAGAUUGCAACAAGCAAGCUCCAGUGAACUCCUCAAGUCACUUUUGGAUGAUUUCUGUUUAGUUUCUUUUCUGUCAGCUUUUCCCACUCCAAAGCUGACAAAGCCUGGUGGCUGGUAACAGUCUUGAGUUGAAAGCUGCAGGUCCUCCACAUCCCUAGGGAUGAGAGGUCUCUGUAUCAAAGCUUUAGAGCAGGAGGAGGUAUAGCAUAUGAAUUUUCUAAGUAAAAAUUCUGACUCUGUAGGAGGACUAGCAGAAUUAGCUUCAAGCUGAUAAAGAUUCUAAACCCAGGAGGAUGGUACUGACUACCUUUGCUUUUUGAAUACUUAAUUUCCUUAUUAAGUCAGUGCAGCUCAAUUAUUUUUGCCUCUGUCUUUGAGUGUCAAAACUUGGGCAGGCUGUUACAAUGAAACUUGGAGGGAAGUUUUCAUUUCUUGCAAAACUUUUUAGAUAUGGAAAAUCCUCACCAAUCCUUGCAGUUAAUUUCACUUUCUUUGAACACCAUCUUUGUCAGGUGCAAGGCUAUGCCUUCUGCUUUUCUCUAGUCUAAAUUUCCUUAAUGCCUGUUUACCCUGGCUUGUAGAUGGACCAUGCUACAGAUCAAUUCUGUUGAUCCAUUAGAUCCAGAUAAUUUCAGAUACUGCAGUUCUUCCUCCUUGCGUAUAUCUGGACCGGUGAUCAGGACCCAUCUGUCCUGCAAUAUCUGUGGGGCAGAUGUGAGCUCAUUCUACACGAAAAGCUGUACAGUGGCACUUAGUGAGCCACUGUGCCCCAGUUAAUAGACCUGUUUGUGAGACAGGAUGUAUGUUUUCUGCUUGAGAUUACAUUAAGAGAGCCAAACAUCUUCUAGUGAGCUCAGGACUGAGCAGAGCGAUGUUUAUCAGCAGAAUAAAUUGAGCUUCAAGUGAUGGCUACAUGGUAUCAUUUACUUUAGUAGUACGCUGAGACCUGAUAUUUUAAAACAGAAAGUACAUGAGUAAUAGUUCCUGAGGCUCUGCCGUUCUGUGAAGAAUAAACCAAACAGGCUUACAGGUUCUCCUCUUUGUUUUUCCUUGGGCAACUGUAACUCCUUUCCCCUCUGAGGGAGGCCCUUUUAAACACUGGAGCCCUUUGAUCCUUGCAUGCACAUGGUUGUCUUCUGGCACUGUCUUAACAACUCUCAAAUGCUUGCAGAGAAGAGGCUUUUUUCAUGACAGUCUGUUUCCUUCUUGCUUGUAUCUCCUUGAAAGUCGUUGUAAACUAGUAUAUACAAAGUGAACGUCCACUGGACAAGGUUUCUUGUGCUUGUUAGUUAUCACAAAUAACGCUUGUCUUGCAGGUAUUAAACAAAGCACAGCAUUCACACAGAGGAGCUCCUGCUCCUUCCCAACAGUUUCUGUGGUGUCCUCCUUUAAAAAGAAAGUAAUAUUUAUUGGGAUUUGAGAUCCUUGCCUAAAAACAGUAACUGAGUGCUUCUCCACCUCCCAAGGCACGUUUAGUUUGACUACCAGGCUUUGCUUUGCUAUGGAGUUUGUAUAGCUAGCCACUCAGCACCAGUCAGCAAGAUGGCCUAUACUUAUGAUUUUGCUGAGAACGAAAUGAAAGAAAAACAAAAGAAAAACUUGACUGCAGUCUGUUGUGAAUGACUUUUUGCUCUGUGCUAUAUGUAAUGCAUCUCCUGUUAGUGUAAUCUUUUUCUUCCUCAAGGAACAGUUGGAAUCUGUUUUAAAGGCCAUUGUUCUUGGCAGCACAGAAACAUAUGACUUCUGUUCCAGGUCUUUGGCUUCACUUCCCAGCUUGCCCUGCAAUGAUCAAGGAACGUCUUUGUGCAAAGCCUCAUACCAUUGCUCUAGCACACGGGUUUGCCAUACAACACAUCUCACAGUGCCAAACCAUGGGAGUGUGUGAGUUGACAGAUCAACCAGAAUAAGUUCUAAAAAUGCCCUAUUGAUAAUUAUGGGCUACUGAUUUGUGUAUAUAUUAUAGAGGAGGAUGAUUUUCUUUCUUCCUCUGACAGUUAUGUAUACAUUUGAAUACUGACUUACGCUGGAUAGUACAGAAGAACUGAAACCAAUUCCUGGAAAGUACCCCACCCAUUCUGUUAGCAAGUCUUCAGCUGAUGGGAGAGGAGUUUCUGCACCCACGUAGACAUGGCAUGGUAAAUCAACUGAAAUGUACAUACACCAUUCAGCAUUUUGCCCAGGGGCAAAGUUGUAAAAAUUGUCUUGAGGGAUUCACUCUCCAUCACUGAUCACUUUUGCACUAAUCUUAUCUAUACAUGUGUGGAAAAAUGGAUGGAAAGGCAAGAGACUUGGCUUCUAUCUUCUCAGCUUAUUCCUGGUGCCUAGCAUGUCCUCAGAAGCUCAUAUCUCCAUGUCACCUGCUCCAGGAAACUGCACACCACUCCUGCAAAGAGCAGCCUUUGCUGGCCUGGAUCCCUGCCAUGCUCACUGAUGUACAGUGGUUACAGGGGAGCCAUGUGGUCGCUGGGCCCUCCUCAAUCUGCAGCACUGCUGCGACCUGUUGUUUCCAUGGGGCGUAUGAGAUACUGCAGCAGCAGCAGCAGGUAGGGGAUGUUGCAGGCAGGUGGGAGCUCCCAUGAGGCAGUGAGGAGCGGAGCAGGGAGGGAGAGGCAGGGACAUAGGCUGCAAAUCUGACGCAAGCCCUGCCUUGCUCUCCUCCCUGCCCCCUACCUUGAUAUUUCAUUGCUGUGGUGUGUUUUGAUUCAUGAGCUUUUUCUCAGCUUGCUGCUGAACUGGGUGACUCAGAGCACAGUUCUAUAAAGGCUUUAUUAAUGGAGAUUAACGUCAGCACGCACCUUUUGUUUGUACAUGGCUCUUCUUUUCUCUUCACCACCUCCCCUCCCUAAACUUCCUGUCUUGUAGAUGUUUGAAUAGUAAGCAUCUCUUAGGAGAGACAUGACUGUGUCCUUGCCCCUUCCCUUGUUGCCAUGAAAGUAGGCAGGUUUCCAGAGAAUGGAGUUCAAGUGCCACCAGCUACCUCUGAUUAAAUCUGAAGAGCAGACUACACGUAAGCUGAAACCUCCUCCAUCGUGAAGGACUGCUGCUACUGUCAGAGCUUGUGCUAAAGAUCUGUGAUAAUGUUCUGCCUCAGAGGGAAGAAGAAAAUACUGUGGUUUGGAAAGGCAGCCCUGGGGCCUGUCCUGUGUUCAAAAGGGUCUGGGGGUAUUUUAGCCAAGAUGUUACAAUCGGCCAAACAGAAAGCUGCAGAUUGCAGUGCCUUGCAGUGUAAGAAUGCCAGUCAGCAACUUGAAGAGUUGAAAGAGGAUAUCUGAAGGGGACCUGAUGGUAUUCUGUGCUGGCAUGGCUUCACGUCAAGUAUUGUAUGUGAUUUGGAGCACCGUAAUAUAAGAAGGACAUAAAAAUAUGAGAGAGCAUCCAGAGGAGGGCCACGAAGACAGUGAAGGGUCUGGAGCAGGGCAAGGCAUAUGAGGAGUGGCUGAGGUCUGAGGGUUUUCUGAGCCCAGAGCAGUGGAGCUGAGGGGAGGCCUCAUGGAGGCUGCAGCUCCUCACAGGGAGCAGAGGGGCAGCAAUAUGCUGAGCUCUGCUCUCUGGUGACAGUGACAGGAUCCAAGGGAAUGGCAUGGAGCUGUGUCAGGGGAGGGUCUGAUGGGAGUCAGGGACAGGUUCUGCACCAGAGGGUGGUGGGCAUGGAGCAGAAAGUGAUCAUGGCCCCAUGGUCCUGGAGUGCAAGAGGUGUUUGGGCAGUGCUCUCAGACAUAGGGUUUGAAUUUUUGGGUGGUGCUGUGUGGAGCCAGGAGUUGGACUUCAUGAUCCUUGUGGGUCCUUUCCAACUUGAGAUAUUCUGUGAUUCUAUUAUUCAGUUUCCCUACCAAAAUUGCAUAGUGGAAGUACUGACUUCUACUGUUUUGGAGCAGAGAGAAAUGUAGCCAGCUUGUCAUCACUGCUCUGCUGUGUGAUUCCUCCAGUUUGCUCAUGUUGAUUCCUGGGGUGGAGGAGACAAUUCUCUAGUCUAAAGGAGGGAGAGGCUUUGGUUUUAGUUUAAUCUGUUUCAUAGUGUCAAGAGAAAAAAUUAAAGACUGUGUAGCUUUUGGAGUUAGUGAGGGCACUUGGAAUGAGAUCUCUUUGUAUGGUUAGAGAUAGCUUAAUUUUCUAAAAAAUGGCCUAGCAAACUGUAGCUGAAAGCCACUGUCGUGCUAAGGUGCUUUGGCAGUUUGUAGCCAAGGUGUUUUUUGUCUUAAUCCAGCUCGGAUAAUUCCUUCCUUAGCAGCAGAAAUAUCAUCACCACUUGAGUCCUCUUGGCUAUCUUAGCACCAGAGAAGUGCAGUGGGAGCCGCCAGUGCUCUAUCUUUCCCCAGUGAUAGCCACUCCAGGUCAGUUGUGAGGCACUUUAGAUGAGCAGCAGGAAGAAGACUGUGCUUGGUCAUUACAUUUACUCUUUCUGAACUGCCAAUCCAACACUCUCGUUUGCACUGGCUUUUGUGUUAUUGUUAUUUUUUUAUAUUAAAAAAUCAGUAAUAAAAAAUUAUAUGUCUGUACCAAGUAAAAUAAGAAACAGGAUACUGCAGGAAGUAGGUGAGACAUAGUUCAUGCUGUGAAGUGUAGCCUGUUUUAACAACCAGUCAAGUGAAGUAUUGCUACGUAGCAAUCCAAAAAAAGCAAGGAAGGAGUACUGCCACAGCAACAUAGAUUAUGCUUAAGCAACCCAAUUAAAAAGAAAAGAAAAAAAAAAGAUCAAGUGAGAGAGCAGCUCAAUAGGACUGUGUGGUUGAUGUUCAGAGAUGUAAAGUAAACAGACCUGCUUACAGUGCGUCAGAGGGAAACUAGAUAGAAAUGCUAAAAAUGAAUAGUUGAGGCUGGAUAAUGUGCAUGCAAACCAAUUGACAGGCAUGAGUUCAGAGAGCUGCUUGACCACUAAGUCAAAAUAAGCAUAUAAGGUAGGAAUGAAAAACUGAGUGGGAAAUAUAUGGGUAUCAUGUUGUCUGGAGACACUCAGGCCCACAGUCUGUCUCAAAAUGAAAUGGUGUCUUUGGGUGGCCUCUAAAGGGAGAAAGUAAAUAAACCAUAGGUAAAUAAGCCACAAAAGUGUAUUUCAGCCUCUGAGAAUGCUUUGAAAUCACCACCAGAAUGUUGCAAAAUGGCUACUUGGGCCUUUUGCCACAGGUCUGCAACACUUGUGAGCAUGCCAACUGGACAGCAGGCUUUUGUGCUAGACAGGGACAACUAUCAAAUUACCAAAAUUAUGAAUACAGCCAUCUAAUAACUGGCAACAAACAAAAUAGCUUCUUGAGUCUUUUGUCCCUGAAGUUCAGGGUGAGGCAUCCAAAAUUUCUUGGAAGUAUUUAUGUGGUUGCCUUGUUCUGUUGCUUUAUUUCUGAUGCUUUAUUACUGUAGGUGUUCCUUUCUUAGCAUUAUAAAAUUCUGUGAUAUGAAGAUGAAGAAUUUGCUCUUUCAGUCUGAAAAUUGAAAGGGUAGGAAAAUGGAGAGAGAAUAGAUGCACAGAAGCCUACUAUUCCAUUUUUGUUUCCACUGAACUUUUCAAAUCAAUUUGAAAAUUUUUUUGUGUGGAAGUUUUAGCCCAUUCCUUCUGUAAAGCUACAUGGGUAUAAUCAUGGGGAUGAUGCACGAACUGCCUCUAGAUUUCUCUGCACCAACAUUUUAGCAGCUCCUGAAAUUUUUUCUUGUCAAGACUCUUGAUACUUGAUUCUUCAGAAGAUCUCUUUGAAUGAAGGAUAACCUCCAAUGGGUGUUUUUUUUUGUCCCAUUACUUAAAAAAAAAUUCUGAAAGUCUGUAAUUGUGUAUAGAUACACAUGCAGAUAAGAUGAGAAUGUGUUCUAAAUUAAAUAGAAAAUAAACUCUAGGGGUACAUGAAUGGGGUGAAAGGUGUAAAAUGAAAUCUGACCAGAUCUCUUCGGUGCCUUUUUCUGGGGUCAUAUAAUAAUAUAAUAAUUCAGAUUUGGACUUCAGGAGGUCCCUAAUCAAACUUCCUGCUCAAAGCAGGGUCUCAGCUCUCAGAUGAGACCAGCUAGCUCAGGGCUUCAUCCACUGACUGCACAACCCCUCUAGACAACCUAUUCCCAUGCUGUCAUUGUCUCUAUAGCUAUUUUGUUCAAAAGCAGAUUGUUCUUCUGAAAAAUAAAUGUACAACAUAUUUACACAUUCUAAUGAAAAUGUGGCAGUUAGCUUAGCCCUGGGAAAACAGCAGAACAGCACGGUAAGGGCAGAUAGCAAAGUCAGUGGUUGCUUUAGACAACUGACUGGCUAACGUUUUGGUAGAACCUGGGAAUAGACUUGCUGAACUUAGUUUUGGGAGUUGGAUACUAGAUUUUUCAGCAUUAAAAACCUGCACGUUACAUAGUCUCAUGGAGAGAUGCAAUACUUGUUACUGCAGUGGUAAUUGGUAGUAUCAAAUAUUUUUUUAUCUUGGUCUUCUAAAUACAUUCAAGUAGAUCCUUUUGUCACAACAUUUGAACCAGCCCUUCCAGGGCCUCCAUUCUAGCACUUCUUCAAACUGGCCUAGAGAUACAUGCAUUGUGUGCACUUCAGUUGAAAACAGCUGCUAGGAAUCUUCAUCUCUUUGUAUGAUUUUCUUUUCCUAAUAGGUGAUUCAUGUAUCUGUAAAUACAGGGAAAUAUUUGUACUGUCAUCCUUUGGUGUUAGAGCCAAAUUAUGAGAGUGAUUCCUUAGUCCAUUUUUCCACAUAAGGCAGACACAGAGUUCUCUAAUUUGUGUCUCAAGUCUCUAACUUCCAUUUGCACUGCUGCGGCUCUUUGGAAAGACAUUCAGAAUUGACUUGCAGGCAGCAGAUGAUGAAGAAUUCUCUGAACUUAUUGGUAAGAUUUUGUAGUGCAAAACUGUCUUUGCUGUGAAAACUUUACUCAGAUGAGUUUUCAGUUCUGUAAACACAGUCUUUCAAGGACAUUUUUACUAAUUCUGAUUUUUACUAAUUUCAUUUCUAUGAAAAAUAGGGUAAUUUUGAAAUUGUCAUGAAAAUGCGUCCCAUUUCCUGUUGGCUUGUUUAUCUCCUCAGUACCAUGUUUUGACAAAAUGCUGCAUGAAAGAAUUCAAAUAUUUCAUGAUGUUAGAAACUAAAAGGAGCCAGUAAUAAGUUCCAAAUAUUGUGUUUAUUAAAAUGAAGCAUUUUAUUUUCUCAAAAUGCAAAUAAAAUAAUUGUAAAAUGUUUUGAUCUUUUAUUUCCUAUUAGAAGAAGCUGUUGCAGCAAGGCAGUGAAAUGCCGCCAAAUCAGUUAUAGAUUUUACUGGAAUAUGCACAGAAGUGGCACAAGCUUCUGUAGGAGAAGCAGAAGAUGCACUGAAAGAAGUUAAUGGUUUUAGCUUUAUAUAGUUUUUUUUUCUACUACUAAUUUUUUCUCUGGCUUUCCAGUUUUUUCAUGUUAUGUUUUAUGUUUUCUUUCUCUGGGUGCUUACUGUAUUAUUUCUUUUUUUUUGAAAGUAAACAAGAACAAAAAACAAAUGCCUGAAAAAAUCUAGUCAGUAGUGGAUGAUGGGAAAAUAAAAUUUGAAUGAUGUGGAGUUCUUUAGGAGUAUUCUUCCUUAGUGAUUAUGAAAAUCAGAUGGCAUAGUCAAUUCCAAAACUGAAAACAUGACUAAUGGUAAGAAACACUUGAUAUUCUGUAUGAGUACCUGUAGUGCCCUCCUCCACUCUCAUUGCUCAGUAGAAAAAAAAUUAUUUUAAUAAGGUUAGUUACAGCAUUUCUUCUGGGAUACAUACCAUGACUGCUUGAAUAUUGAUAACAAAAAGGAUUUUUGAUCUUUAAAUAUCUGGUACCACUGAUUGAAACUCAAAGUUAUAAGUCAAAUCCAGACUAGGUUGUGACCAUCUACACAUUGAAAUUCAGGUCUGGGACAUGCAUUAAAAAAUUGAAUGUUAUUAGAAUCUGAGAAUUUGACACAAUGUAAUGUAAUAUAUUAAAAAAAAAUUAUACUAUGAUAAUCAGUAUAGAGGGUAAAAUUCCACGCAUCUACCAAGGCUCAGAUCCUUUUCCCAAUGCAUUAGAUAGUACUUUUGUAAACUCUCUCAUCCUCACACACUGUGAACAAGUAAAGGUAAAUUUUUAGAAAGAUUAUCUGUUCAGCCAUUUUCAAGUGUCCACCCAAAGGCUAUGGUCUCCAGUGCUGUCUUUUGUAAGUAUCAAGUUAUUCAACAAGCAGAAAAUUCUUCAGAAAUUCCAUCUAUGAUGUAAUAUUUAGUGUUCUAAAUGGGUCUGAACAUGCAUGGAUUUGCCGUUGGACAGAUACUGAGUAUAAAAUGCUUCUGGAGCUUAGAGAUGAUUAAUAGUUAAUAAGUAGCUUGUAACAGUGGUCUGGUUAUGUACUGCUGGUAGGGAAUCACUGGCUCUCUCCAAAGAAAGUUUAGUUUCUCAGAGUGGCCUGUCUGCAAAAUAACUGAACAGGGUACAAUAAUUUUCUCAUUCUGGUGCAUUCACUUCUUGAUUAAAUUCUUCUUUGCUGCUUAAGAAAAAUAAAAACAAAGCUUUCAUGAGAAUUUUAUUAACUGUAUAAUAUAGCUAUGCUUUGUAUUCAACUAUCUAUCUUAAUAUUUUAAUCAUGAGUGUGAAAAAAUGUUUGAAAUUACUUGGGAAACUUGUCAGUAAAUUUCCCUGAAUAGUAAAUUUCUCUGAAAUCUUAACAUUUCAUAUAUGAGAAUGCGUUGCACAAAAGCAGAAGGCAGGCAGGAAAUGAAAAAAAGCUAGUGGAGAUCCUUUGUUUAAAAAAAAAAAAAAAUUGAUUUGAUGUCGAAUCUGAAGCAGAUGUAGGUUCAGAGUGUGUGUAGUGACCUGGAAAAGGAGCUGCGUGUGGGACUUCUACUUUGGGGAGCAUCAGUGAGCUGCUUUAUGUUGCACAAACACUUGAAAUAUUUUAUUUUUUCUUAUUGUUUUACUUCUUUUUUCAUGAUUUCCUUUCAACUCAAGAACACUAAGAUUUUUUUUUUCUAUUUUUACGAGGCCUACUUGGAGGGUAUGGGCAGUAGAAAGACAGUUGGAAGGGCUGAUCUGAAGGGCUGUAUUAUUGAAGAAAGAUAUAUUCAAGUUAUCAGAGGUAGAAAGACACUGAUUAAAGCACUUGUCUGUGUUUCUAAGGUACAAGUUUUAUGUGAUCUUGUAAAAAGAAAAGUUCUCACCAGAAGCUGAGGGAACUAAUGCUUGAUAGUAUUCUUUAUUCUGUCUCAUUUCUUAAGCAUCUAAUAGCUCAGUUGAACAUACUUAAUAAAACUUGUGGUUUUUGUUUUUAACAAUGGUGGAAAAAAAUGGAAAACUCAGAAUUACACCUCAUUUUCCAAAUAUGUUUCAAAAAAUGACUUUCGGAGAAGUGGUAUUAUCUCAUCGUUUCUUGUGUGCCUGACUAUGCUUUACUCAGAUUUCACUGUGUAAAUGUUGUCAUCGGCAAAGGAAUUUGGGGCAGCAUGAAGAAAAUACUAGUCCUGGUUAGGUAAACGUUCAUUGUGUGUGCUAUAUGUGUGUUUCUGAUAUAAAAUGAUUACGCAACAAAAUCUUCUGCAAGUUGUAGGUAGAACUGAAUAUCUCCAUGUAAUUAUUAAAUAAGCAUAUUAUUAAUUUAGUAGGAUGCUUUUGUUCAAGGAGAUGCAAGUUCCUUGAACUUGAAAUGCAUUUUCUUUAUUUUCAUUUGGUAAGCCAUGAAGAAAACUUUGUUAAUGCUUUUAGAGUAUGCAUUGUAUUUAUUAAAGGCAAAAAAUGAAUUUUCUAGGUGAUUCUGUUUGAGCAGUUUUCUCAGAAAACAGCUUUUGGCCUAUGUGGAUUUCUGUCUCCACAAAUUAUCUGUGAACUACGUCUCAUGUUUGUAAACAUCAUCUUCCAAAACAGCUCCAAACUAGGCCUCUCAGUUAUUUGUGAUACUCAGCGUUAAGGUAUAGGCAUGAGUUGCUGUUAUCUUUCUGCUCUCUUGGAGUUCAACAGUUGCAUUUGUGUUAAAAAUAAUAAUAAUAAUACAAAAUUUUGGUUCCCUGCCCACCUUCAGCAAAAAUCUACAAAUUAAUUGUGUUCUUUUUCUAUGUUGUAUGAUUGUGUAAUUAGUUGGUGAUAUUUUUAAUGGAUAAAGCAGUAUAAAUGUGCUUUUUCUGGACUACUAGGAUAAGAAACUUAUUUUCUGCCAGUGAAGCAAGCUGAUUUCAUUUUGAAUAUGAAUGUAUGUAGAGAGAAAGUGUAAUUUUGUACAGUAUUUCUAUACAGUCACUUUCUGGACCGCUGAACAAUAAAAGCUGAAUGAGGGUGAGAGAUGUUAGGAAAGAUCAUUUAUAUCUAACAUAGGAAUUGAAUAUAUGCAGCUUCAGAACUGCUGAUUUUGGUGCUGAAACCAAAUACUUUCAGUUAGGUUACUACAGUAGAAGUAGUCUUUAAAUGCAAUGUUUUAAGCAUUUAAGAAUUUUGUUUGUUUUUCUGUUUCAACUUGGGACAGCACAAAAAAAUCUACUUAAAAAACUACUUUAUAACGCUAUGCUUCUUUUUAUUUGCAAAUACUUCCUGCAACAGAAAUAUGAUGGCUUAACUUUAUUUCUAAAUACCUAGACUUGAGAAUCUAGGGAGUAAAUAUCUCCUUGAGUUUCUCAUCAUUGUCAAUCCAAGUUAGUUGUUCCAACUUUGUCUAUUUCCAGAUGGUUUUGGUAUCCCUUUCCCCCUUUCAUCACUAAUUAAUUCUGACAGCUUAGGUAUUGUCGAUGUUAAUUAUAUCUAGACCAUAAAAAAGGGCUUAGCCUUUUUGUGGGUAGGUUUUUAUCAUUAUUGCUGAUGUCUGGUGAAAGCAUUAGAUUACACUGCUUACAGUUAACAACAGGUGCAUAUUUCUUCAUCUUUUUGUCCUCUGGCCUGUGUUAGUUGUAUGUCUUUUAUUACUAAUUUCUUUCCCUGUGGAUAGCAGAGUAAGGAGAACUAAGCAGAAGGCCUCAUACUGCAGUAAUAGUAUCACACGAUGAGUAGUUUUGUGGGUACUGGGGAAACAGAGUGUAAUUUCUCUUGAAAUGUGUCUUUGUUUAGAACUGUCAUACUGCUUGAUAGUGGUGCUCAUUAAUAGCUCCAUAGAGCAUUCUGUAGUGGCUGUUCUACCCUGCAGAAAAUUAAAAAUUGUUAGAAAUUUCUUAUCAAACUGGGGCAAUAGUGCUUUUUUUUUCCCUCCCGUUUCUUUUAAUGAUGGUGGCAGAUGACAUCCCUUACAAAGAAAUCCUAACCUUAUGAUUUGGUGAACGUACAGGUUGCAGGCAUAUCAGAGUAAGACUUUACUGAAGGCUUGCCUCAAGUUACCUCCGUACUGCUAAAUAAAAUAUCUCAGGGCUAGUUAUAUCCCCUUGGCUCUGAGACCAAGUGGCACAGACUGCCAUGUCUGUGUUUCAUUGCCCCAGGCCCUGCAUCUGAUGUGAGCCUUGUGCUGCAGCCUGCUGGUCCCAGGACAUCAUCAGAUUAGUGCCUGAGUGGUGGUUUGGGGGAGGAUCUGCUCUCAGGUGACUUCUGGCACUUUGGUCCACAUUUCAGCCUGCUAGUUUUCUAGCAGAAGGCUGAGGUAGGGCACUGCGUGCCCUGGGCUGUGGCAUGAGAUGUUGCUUUGUAGUUAAAAGUUUGCUAGGCAGUGCUGGAAGGCUGUGGUGCAGAGGAAACCAAAUACAGUGCAGGCUUGCCUACACUCUCCCCUGGGAAUUGCCUCAGUGUAUGUUCUACCCCAAAAUGUGCUCUGUGCUGUGCUAGCUGGCAGAGACCGCAGCUCUUCUAAAGAGCAUGCCAGUGAUUAAGGUAGCACAGGGGAUCAGUAGUCCCAUGCUCAAGCUCACUUCCUGGUCUUAGCUAGUUUGUCAGUAUAGACAGAUGUAAGAGUCUCACCUCUGUGGUAGAUUUCCACAGGGUCUUUGCAAAUAGUCUCUGGAAUAUAUAUUCCCUUCCCAGUUGGACAACAUUUCCUUCCCUGGCUGACAAGAAGGGGAGCUCUAGCCCCUUCCAGUGCCAGCAUUUGGUUGCCUCUGCGGUAUGGAGAACACCUGGUUCUUAAGGGGGAUCCUAACAGCUAAGAGAGAUGAGAAGAUACUCCUGGGGGCUAGGUAGGGAUGGAGUAUCUUCCAUUCAGAGAGCUAAGUCAGUCCUAAGCCGUGACUAAGUAUCUAUUCUCACCCCAUCAUUCAUCUAGCAUGGGGUCUACUCCAGAUGAAGCCUUGAUGAUUUUAAUAUCUUCACUCCAUUCUGGAGCUUCUCCAGUGAUACCUGUGGCAUGGAGGUAUUCUUCCCUCACUGUAUAAUUGCAAAAAGGUUGAAAAUUGUUGAUUAAGGCAACCAUCAGUGCUCAGAUUCCACCCAGACUUCUGUAUUUUAAUGACUUUCAGCAAAAUUACCCCAAAUUAUAUUCUAUAAAAUUCCAUGGCAUGUACUCACCAGAGUGCAUAAUUGAACAAUUCAAAAUGAAAUGCUUAAAACUUUGUCACACUUUGAAAUAAUUGAUAUUGGAGAAAAAUGCUUGAACAAGUGCUUUUUGUCAUGAAAGUAGAGCAUAUGGGUGGAAAAAUUGCAUUAUGUUCUGAGUAAAACACUGAGUGCAUACUGUUAGGACUGAGAUUUACUUAUUAAGUUUGCAAGUACACUUAGGAGGAAAUCCAGUGCAGUGCACUGAAGAAUAAAGAAGAUGGAACUGUUUGGAAGCAGGAGGGGUUACAAAACCUGUGUUUUCCUGCCUUACAGGAAACCUUUUCUUAGAGGACAGAUUCUGUGUUUGGCCUAGAAUAAUGAAACACAGCUUUUGAUAUCAAAUAGGGCUUUGAGCAACCUGGUCUAGUGAGAGUUGUCCUUGCCUAUAGCAGGGGGGUAGGAACUAGGUGAUCUUAAAGGUCCCUUCCAACCCAAACCAUUCUAUGAUUCUGUGAUUCUAUAAAUAGUGAAAGAUGAUCCAGUACAAGGAAAGAUGGGUUGGUUAGACAUUAAUGUAACUGUAGCUGGUGACUGUGUUGAUGUCACACGAGGUGUUUUACAAACUGCAUGUUAGAAAAGGGAAAAAAAAAAAAGUAAGAAAGGUAAAACAUCCUCUCUCUAGUAAUACUUCAAGUUAUUA